rnacentral:rRNA from 1 species
CAUGCAGGUGGUUUGUUAAGUCAGAUGUGAAAGCCCGGGGCUCAACCUCGGAAUAGCAUUUGAAACUGGCAGGCUAGAGUACUGUAGAGGGGGGUAGAAUUUCAGGUGUAGCGGUGAAAUGCGUAGAGAUCUGAAGGAAUACCGGUGGCGAAGGCGGCCCCCUGGACAGAUACUGACACUCAGAUGCGAAAGCGUGGGGAGCAAACA